rnacentral:rRNA from 1 species
AGCUCUCCGAGUGGUGUGGAUGUUUAUAGGGCCUAAAGCAUCCGUAGCUGGCUAAGUUAGUCCCUUGUUAAAUCCACCGAAUUAAUCGUUGGAUUGCGGGGGAUACUGCUUGGCUAGGGGACGAGAGAGGCAGACGGUAUUUCCGGGGUAGGGGUGAAAUCCUAUAAUCCCGGGAAGACCACCAGUGGCGAAGGCUGUCUGCUAGAACGCGCCCGACGGUGAGGGAUGAAAGCUGGGGGAGCGAACC